CUGAACAGGGCCAACUUGCCAAGGCACCCGGAAAUUUAAGUGUGGCUCCUGAGCCAGCUGAUGGAGAGAUAUGACCAUGAGAAGUGAGCAAGCAAGGCAGGGUGGGAUUACUCACUCCUCAUCCUGGUCCUGUCCACCAAUCACUGCCUGAGCCGAAAGAACAUGACCAAGGAAGGUAGUGGAUGUGUAACCGUGUUUCGUCUUUCACUAUAGACAAGCUGGAGCCGACUUCUUCCGCUACCCAGGCCUAUGCUACAUGUCUUACAACAACACAAAUUGAACUGAGGAAAAGGAAAGGCAGGAGGCUUGGGAAUAACUUUCCACAGCUUCAGCUUUUGUUUACCUCUAAUUGUCAAGCUGUUAUUUCUGGAAAAGAUGCAAGAUGCCACCGUCAACCAAUAUUUCUUUUGGGCAUUUAUUAAUUAUAGCCACAAAAGCAUGCAUCAAUCUAUCACAAACUUCUAUUGUUCCUUCUUUAAGCCUACCUUAACUCCAUUAUUGAAACUUUAAUUAA